rnacentral:rRNA from 1 species
CACGUAGGGGGCAAGCGUUGUCCGGAUUCAUUGGGCGUAAAGAGCUCGUAGGCGGUUCAGUAAGUCGGGUGUGAAACCUCCAGGCUCAACCUGGAGACGCCACUCGAUACUGCUGUGACUAGAGUUCGGUAGGGGAUCACGGAAUUCCUGGUGUAGCGGUGAAAUGCGCAGAUAUCAGGAGGAACACCGGUGGCGAAGGCGGUGAUCUGGGCCGACACUGACGCUGUAGAGCGAAAGCGUGGGGAGCGAACAGG